rnacentral:tRNA from 10 species
GCCCGGGUAGCUCAGUUGGUAGAGCAGGGGAUUGAAAAUCCCCGUGUCGGCGGUUCGAUUCCGUCCCCGGGCACCA